rnacentral:misc_RNA from 1 species
GAAUAAAGUGUUUUUUUUUUUUAUAAUGAGAGUAGAGUCAAUUAUAUUAAAUGCAUAGGGUUUAUAAGGCUAAAAACGGUGUAGCAUUGAAUGGAAGUGAAAUUAGUUCGGUUCGGAUAAUUCGAUUUAUAUAUUAAAUUAACCGAACCAAAUCAAAUAAUCGAAAAUUUUAAAAAUCACUAAUUGAAACUGAAUCGAUUUGCUGAAUAACCAAAUAAAAAAAAACAAAUUAAAAUGAUUUUGUUAAGUUUUUCGGUUUAAACCGUUUAUUGCUCACUCUUACCGUUAACAAUUUAUUCUUAAAGUAUCAACGAUCAUUAAAGUUCCUGUCCUUAAUUAUAACAAAAUAAAAUAUGUAUCUUCAAUGUUAAAAAUGUCAAAAUACGAGAUACUAAAUUGUUUUUCCCAUAAUAAUAAUAAUAAUAACAAU